GCGUCGGUGUGCAACGGUUAGCACACGUUUCCGGAAAGAGUGAGACCUGGGUUCGAAUCUCGGCUGACGCA